rnacentral:rRNA from 1 species
AUAAGGCCCCCGCGGCGGGGCAACCCCGCCCUCGUUCCCUAAUGACCCUUCCCGUUAGGUGAACCUGCGGAAGGAUCAUUACAAGAAACGAGGCCGCGUGCGCUCGCCCGCCCGGCCCCGCUCCUUACCUUGCCUACUGCACCGUUUGUUGCUUCCUGGCGGCGGACUGCCCGCCGCCAGGGACGUUGAUACAAUCCUGUAUAGAAGCAUUGAAGCUCUGAGAAAACGCGAAAUCGUACAACUUUCAACAAUGGAUCUCUUGGUUCUGGCAUCGAUGAAGAACGCAGCGAAAUGCGAUAAGUAGUGUGAAUUGCAGAAUUCAGUGAAUCAUCGAAUCUUUGAACGCACAUUGCGCCCCUUGGCAUUCCAUGGGGCAUGCCUGUUCGAGCGUCAUCUAAACCCUCAAGCCCCCGGCUUGGUGUUGGGUGCCUGUCCCCGCUCCCCGCGCGGACUCACCCCAAAUGCAUUGGCAGCCGCCUCUCGGCUUCUUGCGCAGCACAGUGCGCAGCGAGGCGAGGUGAGGCGUGCGUCCAGCAAGCAACCACCCAAGUUGACCUCGAUCAGUAGGAACCCGCUGAUA